rnacentral:rRNA from 1 species
UACGUGAGGGGCGAACGUUGUUCGGUGUCACUGGGCUUAAAGGGUGCGUAGGUGGUUGCGUAAGUAAGGUGUGAAAUCCCUCGGCUUACCCGGGGAAUUGCAUUUUAUACUGCGUGGCUUGAGGACUAAAGGGGAAAAGGGAACUCCAGGUGUAGCGGUGAAAUGCGCAGAUAUCUGGGGGAAGGCCGGCGGCGAAGGCGGCCUGCUGGGCAGUAGCUGACGCUGAGGCGCGACAGCGUGGGGAGCAAACAGG